UCCGGUUUAUCACCGGCAGUCUCUCUAGAAUCCCCAACUUUACUUGCUGGCAACUAGAGAUGAGGGUUGCGCUCGUUACGGGACUUAACCCAACAUCUCACGACACGAGCUGACGACAGCCAUGCAGCACCUGUCACUCGAUUCCCGAAGGCACACUUCCAUUUCUGGAAGCUUUCGAGGAUGUCAAGGGUAGGUAAGGUUUUUCGCGUUGCAUCGAAUUAAACCACAUGCUCCACCGCUUGUGCGGGCCCCCGUCAAUUCCUUUAAGUUUUAACCUUGCGGCCGUACUCCCCAGGCGGAAAACUUAUCGCGUUAGCUACGCCACUAAAAGUUAAAACUUCUAACGGCUAGUUUUCAUCGUUUACGGCGUGGACUAC
rnacentral:misc_RNA from 1 species